GAGCGAACAGACGAGGAGCUUGCUCCUCUGACGUUAGCGGCGGACGGGUGAGUAACACGUGGAUAACCUACCUAUAAGACUGGGAUAACUUCGGGAAACCGGAGCUAAUACCGGAUAAUAUAUUGAACCGCAUGGUUCAAUAGUGAAAGACGGUUUUGCUGUCACUUAUAGAUGGAUCCGCGCCGCAUUAGCUAGUUGGUAAGGUAACGGCUUACCAAGGCAACGAUGCGUAGCCGACCUGAGAGGGUGAUCGGCCACACUGGAACUGAGACACGGUCCAGACUCCUACGGGAGGCAGCAGUAGGGAAUCUUCCGCAAUGGGCGAAAGCCUGACGGAGCAACGCCGCGUGAGUGAUGAAGGUCUUCGGAUCGUAAAACUCUGUUAUUAGGGAAGAACAAAUGUGUAAGUAACUAUGCACGUCUUGACGGUACCUAAUCAGAAAGCCACGGCUAACUACGUGC
rnacentral:rRNA from 1 species